rnacentral:lncRNA from 1 species
GCGAUCAUUACAAAAAAAAAAAGGGCAUUAUCGACUGAAAUUACAAAAAGUAUAUAUAAACAUAAAAAUAAAACUAUUUAGGCAUUUUCUCCAUCGUCACCACUCCUGGCCUGCACUUUACCAUCUUCAUCAUUGUCACCUUUCUCCUCUCGAGCCCCUUAGUCAUUUGGAUCUUGCUAGGAGGGGUCGCCAACAAUUCAGCACAGGGUGCCCCAUCCUCAAGAAUGUCAUCAAUAGGAAUCAACUCCCCAUUAUAAACAUCCUUGUCCAUAUCAAAGAUGGACUCAUCUGGUACCUCGUAGUGAAAAAUCACUUGGUGAAGGCAGUGGUUGAAACCGGACAAAUGCACUUUGAACACAUCGUCAUAUGCCUUCUACUUGAUUCUAGCCUUUCUACAUCCCUUUCUUUCUUGGCCUCUACAAGUAGAGUCUUCAGCCUCUACACUUCCUCUGUGCUUGACUUGGCAGAGUCCUCAGCCUUGGUGGCUCAAUUCUCCCAAGUUUUCAAAUCCAAAUUGUCCUCAACCAAAUUAACAUUGGUAGUAAACACAACAACAAAGGAGUCCUUGACUUUCUUCAGCUUCCCCUUUAGCUUCUUAACCCUUGAAGAACUUUGAAGGUGUUGAGCGAUGGCCACCACUCAUGCAUGAAAACCCAAAAAUUGGUCCAGUUGGCGGCAUCAUCGCUCCUAUUCAGCACAUGGCAGCCUUGCUUUGAUAUGUGGGUCGGUUCAACCAUGUGGAUCGACACAAAGUCAUUGGUGAAGAAGUCAAUGUUGGUCAAAAUCAAGAUGUUGCUGAGGGGAUGAGCGCUCGAGAAUUCAAGUGCUUGUUGUUUCAUUUUCUUUGAGCCCUCGUGGCCGGAAGGCUGAACCGAACCUUGCCUUUGGUCAUAGUGCUUCCCCUGGUCUUUUUGCUUGGCUUCCCUAGUAAGAAGGGAAAUGGCAUAAGCUGGAAGGUCAUUCAGGGGAGGGUUUCAGAUCAGUGAAUGCGUAGGGAUUGUCAAACUAACUGUCACAAAUGCUCAAUUCUUGCGAGCGAGGAAGAAGGAAGGCAUAUUAACCCCGACUUGUACCAUAAUUCUUGAAAAAUACAAACCAGUUAGAGCUGAAUAUAGACAAAUAACACCAAAAAAAGAAGAAAAAAUCUACCUUCAAGAUUCCUAAUCGGAUUAGGGGACUUAAACAAAUUCAUGAUAGCCUUCGAAGGAAGGCGUCGAGGGAGCGACUCGAGGAAAGCCAAGUUGCCUAGUUCCUCUCCAGACAAGUAAUCCAAAGGGAACUCAUUGUACUGGCAGGGCACCUGCUACCAGUAAAAGGGGAACAAAGGCUUCCCUACCGAGUCGUAGAAAAGUCAGCCCUAGCUUUCGGCUUUAUUACAACCUUGAAAAACCCCGUCUUAAAAUUCUUGUAAGAAGAGAUGAAUGUACAAAAUAGUGGUUGAGAAGGUAUCCAGAUUAGUGAAACCCACCGAGACUUCUCUUGUAGCUGGUAACAAAAAUAGUGGAGGAAUAUGCCAGGGUGUCCCUCACAUGUGUAAUAGGCAUAAGGCCUAGAACGCUUAGAUGACAGCCUAACCAUUCGGAUGAAGCUGGGUAGGGGCCACGUUCAAAAUCCGAAGCACUUUCAUUGGAAAAUCAUCAAAGGGGAUGCUUACAUGAAGAUCCCAGAUUAUACAAUCACACAUAAAGAAGAAACCUCUUUGAUCCUCCUUCCUCUUAUUUAAGAAUACAAAAUCGGGAGAAUGGGGGAUUUGCGUUUGUCGAACACA